GAUUUCUGGUUCGGCGCAAUAGGCCCGCCUCGGUUCACGAGGUUGUGUGCCGUUUGCGCCAUCCAUCCUUCGAGAAAACACUUCUGCCCUUCACUGGGUUGGAUGUGCUAUCUCGAUCUUUUACUUUGAAAAAAUUAGAGUGUUUCAAGCAGGCUUUAUGCUAUGAAUACAUUAGCAUGGAAUAAUAAUUUAGGACUUCGGUUCUAUUUUGUUGGUUUCUAGGACUGAAGUAAUGAUUGAUAGGGAUAGUUGGGGGUGCUAGUAUUCAGCGGCCAGAGGUGAAAUUCUCGGAUUCGCUGAAGACUAACUUAUGCGAAAGCAUU
rnacentral:rRNA from 2 species